AAUCAACGCUGGCGGCGUGCCUAACACAUGCAAGUCGAACGCGAAAGCCCCUUCGGGGGCAAGUAGAGUGGCGUCCGGGUGAGUAACACGUGGGUAAUCUACCUCCGGGUGGGGAAUAACUCGCCGAAAGGCGGGCUAAUACCGCAUAAUGCAGCGGCACCGAAUGGUGAUUAGUUGUUAAAGCGGGGGACCUUAGGGCCUCGCGUCUGGAGAGGAGCCUGCGGCAGAUUAGCUUGUUGGUAGGGAAUGGCCUACCAAGGCUGCGAUCUGUAGCUGGUCUGAGAGGACGGCCAGCCACACUGGCACUGGCACACGGGCCAGACUCCUACGGGAGGCAGCAGUGGGGAAUUUUGGGCAAUGGGCGAAAGCCUGACCCAGCAACGCCGCGUGAAGGAGGAAAUCCUUCGGGAUGUAAACUUCACAAGCAAGGGAAGAGCGCGCAGGGUCGAAUAAACUCUGCGUCCGACGGUACCUUGCGUAAGCCACGGCUAACUACGUGCCAGC
rnacentral:rRNA from 1 species